rnacentral:rRNA from 1 species
AGAUAUGAUCCAGAGUACCACGGGACACGUGAAACCCUGUGGGAAGCAGGAGGGACCACCCUCCAAGGCUAAAUACUACCUAGUGACCGAUAGCGUAUAGUACCGUGAGGGAAAGGUGAAAAGAACCCCGGGAGGGGAGUGAAAUAGAACCUGAAACCCUGCACUUACAAGCUGUGGAAGCACAUUUCUUGUGUGACCGCGUACUUUUUGUAGAACGGGCCAACGAGUUACGUUAAGUAGCAAGGUUAAGCACUUAAGGUGCGGAGCCGUAGCGAAAGCGAGUUUUAACUGAGCGUUCAGUUACUUGACGUAGACCCGAAACCGGGCGACCUACCCAUGAGCAGGAUGAAGCGAAAGUAAAAUUUCGUGGAGGUCCGAACCCACGAGCGUUGAAAAGCUCGGGGAUGACUUGUGGGUAGCGGUGAAAUUCCAAUCGAGCCCGGAGAUAGCUGGUUCUCCCCGAAAUAGCUUUAGGGCUAGCCUCAAGGUGAGAGAUACGGAGGUAGAGCACUGAAUGUCCUAGGGGGUAUUGCACCUACCGAAGACUAUCAAACUCCGAAUGCCGUCAUCUUAUACUUGGGAGUCAGACUGUGGGUGAUAAGAUUCAUAGUCGAAAGGGCAACAGCCCAGAUCGUCAGCUAAGGUCCCUAAAUGUAAGUUAAGUGGUAAAGGAUGUGGGAUUGCACAGACAACCAGGAUGUUGGCUUAGAAGCAGCCACUCAUUCAAAGAGUGCGUAAUAGCUCACUGGUCGAGUGAUCCUGCGCCGAAGAUUUCCGGGGCUAAAACUUACUACCGAAGCUACGGCAUCAGUAAUGAUGGGUAGGGGAGCUUCCCAUACGGGUUGAAGCAUGACCGUAAGGACAUGUGGACAGUAUGGGAGUGAGAAUGUUGGCAUGAGUAGCGAGAUGUGGGUGAGAAUCCCACAGGCCGUAAACCCAAGGUUUCCAGGGGAAGGUUCGUCCGCCCUGGGUUAGUCGGGACCUAAGCUGAGGCCGAAAGGCGUAGGUGAUGGACAACAGGUUGAUAUUCCUGUACUACCGAUAACCGUUUGAGAGAAGGGAUGACACAGUAGGAUAAGCUAAGCACACUGUUGGUUAUGUGUGCCCAAGCAUUGAGGCAGUCAAAGUAGGCAAAUCCGCUUUGAUAAUGCUGGGAUGUGAUGGGGAGCGAAAUUUAGUAGCGAAGUAGCUGAUUUCACACUGUCAAGAAAAGUCUCUAUCGAGGUUAAAGGUACCCGUACCGCAAACCGACACAGGUGGGUGAGGAGAGUAUCCUAAGGCCAGCGAGAGAACUGUUGUUAAGGAACUCGGCAAAAUGACCCCGUAACUUAGGGAUAAGGGGUGCCACCAUCAGGUGGCCGCAGAGAAUAGGCCCAAGCGACUGUUUACCAAAAACAUAGGUUUCUGCUAAGUCGCAAGACGAUGUAUAGGAGCUGACGCCUGCCCGGUGCUGGAAGGUUAAGGGGAUCUGUUAGAGCAAUCGAAGCAGUGAACUUAAGCCCCAGUAAACGGCGGCCGUAACUAUAACGGUCCUAAGG